ACGCACGCUGGCGGCGUGCUUAACACAUGCAAGUCGAACGGAAAGGCCUUUUCGGAGGUACUCGAGUGGCGAACGGGUGAGUAACACGUGGGUGAUCUGCCCUGCACUCUGGGAUAAGCCUGGGAAACUGGGUCUAAUACCGGAUAGGACCGCACUUUAGUGUGUGUGGUGGAAAGUUUUUUCGGUGGAGGAUGAGCCCGCGGCCUAUCAGCUUGUUGGUGGGGUAAUGGCCUACCAAGGCGGCGACGGGUAGCCGGACUGAGAGGUUGGUCGGCCACAUUGGGACUGGGAUACGGCCCAGACUCCUACGGGGGGCAGCAGUGGGGAAUAUUGCACAAUGGGCGCAAGCCUGAUGCAGCGACGCCGCGUGGGGGAUGACGGCCUUCGGGUUGUAAACUCCUUUCGCCAGGGACGAAGCGUUUUGUGACGGUACCUGGAGAAGAAGCACCGGCUAACUACGUG
rnacentral:rRNA from 1 species